UACGUAGGGUGCAAGCGUUGUCCGGAAUUAUUGGGCGUAAAGAGCUUGUAGGCGGUUUGUCGCGUCUGCUGUGAAAUUUCGGGGCUCAACCCCGAACUUGCAGUGGGUACGGGCAGACUAGAGUGUGGUAGGGGAGACUGGAAUUCCUGGUGUAGCGGUGAAAUGCGCAGAUAUCAGGAGGAACACCGAUGGCGAAGGCAGGAUCGUCCUGGGCCAUAACUGACGCUGAGAAGCGAAAGCAUGGGGAGCGAACAGG
rnacentral:rRNA from 1 species